AGAUUGAACGCUGGCGGCAGGCCUAACACAUGCAAGUCGAGCGGUAGAGAGGUGCUUGCAUCUCUUGAGAGCGGCGGACGGGUGAGUAAUGCCUAGGAAUCUGCCUAGUGGUGGGGGAUAACGUUCGGAAACGGACGCUAAUACCGCAUACGUCCUACGGGAGAAAGCGGGGGACUCGUCGACCUCACGCUAGUCAGA
rnacentral:rRNA from 1 species